rnacentral:rRNA from 1 species
UACGUAGGGGGCUAGCGUUGUCCGGAAUCAUUGGGCGUAAAGAGCGUGUAGGCGGUCCGGUAAGUCCGCUGUGAAAGUCGGGGGCUCAACCCUCGAAUGCCGGUGGAUACUGUCGGGCUAGAGUGCGGAAGAGGCGAGUGGAAUUCCUGGUGUAGCGGUGAAAUGCGCAGAUAUCGGGGAAGAACACCUAUGGCGAAGGCAGCUCUCUGGGGACGGUACUGACGCUGAGACGCGAAAGCGUGGGGAGCGAACAGG